UACAGAGACCUCAAGCGUUAUCCGGAAUCAUUGGGCGUAAAGCGUUCCGACAGGUGGUUUUACAAGUCAGAAGUGAAAUCUUUCAGCUUAACUGGAAGACUGUCUUUUGAAACUGUAAAACUAGAGGGGCAAAGAGGAAGCUGGAACAAGCGGUGUAGUAGUGAAAUGCGUUGAUAUCAUUCGGAACACCGAAAGCGAAGGCAGAGCACUGGGUGCCACCUGACACUGCUAGGACGAAAGCGUGGGGAGCGAAUGGG
rnacentral:rRNA from 1 species